ensembl:lncRNA
AUGGAACGCGCUGAUGACGUAUCAUUUCUGCGUGAACAGGGUGUGCAGAGCUACGUUGACAGGCAGAAUCCGCUCUCCUGCACUUUUUCCCGGCACUUCAAUCACUCGCUCCUUUCCCUUUCUUUGUUGCACUGCUUGUGGGACAUUGAUAUUACAUGGGUUAUUUCUGGAAUGGAUGGGGGCUGAGGUUCACCUUUGAGAGUUGUAUUUCCGCCAUACCGGAGAGGGCACACAGAUCCAUUCCUCCUUUGUGACAGGUGGCUAUUUCCAGAGCAGAUCACAUGACAUGACAAUAGGCACGCAUGCACAUCCCUGCUGACACCAACCCCCUUCUGCUCUCUGUGUACUAACAGCCAGACUGGAGCCAAACUACAUGCACUUGAGUGUGUUCAAACUUUAAACAGAACCAGAAGUGUAAGACGCGCAGGCCCAGCUGCUCGGCCCGUGCUAUUAUUGCUGUGUUAAAUGCACCGAGUGAUUUCCACCCUCCACGUACAUGCGAUCGAGAGAGAUGCAUGAGUCACAUUAACUCUCAGAGCUCCUCACAUUACCAGCAGCCCAUUGCUUUAUGAGCUAAUCUAAUGUAGCUGCAUCUGUUGGUUACACCUGCUGUGUGCAUGUGUGUGCAACUCCAUGUGUUUUCCAUAUUCUUUGUUUUCUGUUCUUCUCAGUUCACAGGGAAACAGUUUAGGGCCCGCUACGGUUAGAGAGAUGGGCAAAAGUAAACAACCGAAAUCUCUGGCACACUCGGCAUGACUUGAACUGUCCGUGUCAGAUCAUGUGAAGCACUGCACUUCAUCCUUGCACCAAGAUGUGAGCCCCGUGAAGUCCUUGUAUCAACCAAAAACAAGCACAGCUGCUUGAGCCAGGCUUUACUCCCGCACACUAGCAUGGGUUUGUUACACCUGCAAAUGGUUAAAGAUCAUGUGAGGUCUGUUAUGCGCUUCAUCAUCCAUGUGUACAUUUUAAACAAACUAUGCUGGAUUUAACCUUUACAUGCUGUUGUGAUAACAAGUGAGAGUGGAGGGGGAGUGGCCAGAGGGCGUGGCCACAGAGCCUCAGCGCGAGGACUCUACGCUCUUGUUUUGAAUUCCUCUGAUCCAACUGUCCAAAUAACCUGGGAAGUUAGUCACGUGGUUGGUAGGAAAAGUACAGCUGUGGGCCAGAGAAAAUAUAGAAUUUCACGUUUCAUAAAGAUCUGACUGCCUAAAAAAACCUGCUGACACUUUACAAGUAGGGUUUGUUAACAUUUGUUAAUGAUUUAAGUAUCAUGAACUAACAAUAAACAAUGACUUUUUUGUGACAUUUACUAAUCUAGGUUAAUAUUAAAUAUUAUUUAUGAUUUUACUUUAUAUGUUACAUUUAUAAAUAUACUAUUUUUCAUUGGUCUGGUCAAAAUUACAGUAAUCCGUAUAACACAUUUAAAAGAAACAGAACUUGAUCCAAAAUGCUGCAGAAUUCAGAAAAAAUAAAUAAAUCUAUUUGAACAAAUUGACAAAUAUAAGAAAAAAGGUCAAAUUAAAAUAAAAUACAAUUUUAAUAACAUAAUUCCGUCACACUUUAUUUUAAUGUGCCCUUCUUACAGGGCAAGUGCUGCGUUGUAACGGAUUACAUGUAAUCUGGAUUGCAUAAUCAGAGUCCAAAAAUUAAGUACUCGUUAUUAGAUUAUAUUACAUUUUAAAAUACUCAUAAUCAGACUACAGGUACUUUUUAUUGAUUACAUAAUAUUCACACAAUAACAAUAAAUUAUUCAUAAUUUAUUGAUUCCCCCUAAUUCUUACUUUUCAUCUUUUACAUUUUCCUUACAUAUAUUCAGACAGUCUUUGAGUUUUGUGUUCAAAAGUCAGUUUUUGAGUUUUGGUUAAUGGCCACAUUGACAUGCAGGUAAACAAAUGAAACAUUUUUUUUUAGAAAGCAUUUUAUUUUGAUUGUUUAAAACAUUUUAAUGAUUUAAUUAAUUAUUAGCUUUUCAUUUAACUCACAAUCCCCCUGCAGUUCCUUUACAAACUUGGGUUUAAGAAACCUUGACGUAAUUUAAUGUUAAUGCACUUCAUGUUGUUAUAAUUACAAUGAAUGAAACAUAUUUUCUAACUCUUUGUUAUUUUUCUAUAAAUAUGGUCCAAGAUUAUCCUAUUUAAAUCAAUGUGUAGACAGAGUUAGGUCAAAAUAAAUCUAAAAGUAGUCUGAAUUUGUUACCUAAAAUGUGUCAUGUAAUGGAUUUUUGUCAUGUAAUUUGGAAUCAGUAACACACUAAAAUUUGGUAAGUAAUCUACACAGCUCUGCCUACACAGCAUGUACUAAGGAUUUGGUGUAGGGUUUGGUUUAGUUUUAGUUGCUUGCAAUUAUGCAUAAAUAAAUGUAAAUACAUGUAAUGUGUAACAAGGCCACAUUGAAAUAAUGUGUUACCAAUAAGUCAGAUAAUUAUAUAUUAUUAUUAACUAAUGUUAAUAAUAAUGUUGAACAACUUGAGUACAAUUACAGUAUGAUAAACAAAAAUGUAUGAGCAUGUAGUAUGAAAUCUAAAUUAAUAAAAGUGAAUUUCUGUUCUGUUCAUGUAAGUUAUUGCAUUAAAUAAUGUUAGCAAACCUUACUAUAAAGUGUUACCAAAAAUGCAUAGUUUCACAAUAAAGGGGUGUUAGUUGAAUCUAAAUAUUAUUGAAAAUUUAUGGGUGUACUCUUUUGACUUAAAAUGCCAUAGCAACAUGGUGGCGAGAAAAUUUAAAAAUCUUGUUCUCGUGUGCUGUGCUCUUAGUUUUGAUUCUCAUGUAAUUCCUUCAUAUAAAACACCUGCUUAAGCGCAUCGGAAUGCAUGCUGAUUCCUUCAGAGGUGCUGUGAAUAAGGCUCUAAGCGGCCUUGAAACAGCCUUGUCAUGUAAUUAGAUGGAAGCUUAUCAUCUCAACUAGUAUCCUCCUCCCCAUGUGACAGCACAGCCAUUGAUCUGUGGCCUGCUGCUCCACUGACCUAAACGAGAGUCUCUCUCAGUGCUUUCCCUGGGGAGAAACGGAGGAGCCACUUCAGGAAAAGAGAGGGUUGCUCUGAACAUAGAUCCUGAUACAAGACGCUGCUGAAAUGGAACACCCACAUGUGACGCAGGAUGUGAGGUAAAUGGUGCUUGGAGGUCACCUUUGCCGAGCAGCUGACCCUGAGACAUAGAGUGACACGCCUGGAAUGUUGGGACAUUCAUGUGGAACUAACCUUCUACUUGUGGCAGUUGUCCUUGAGUAAUGAAUGUGUUUUGAGCUUAGGUUGCUGACAGAUGCUUUUUUCAUGUGCCGUAGGACCAAGCAGGGUGACCUUUGACCUACCUCAGCCUGGGCGGAUUACUAAAUGAACAAAAACCAACAAGAGCUUUCUUAAAUCUCAAUUUGAUCCUUUUUGAACUGAGAGAAUCUGACAGUUGUGAUUUGGAGUUGCCGUAAAAAAUGUGAGUGCAGUUACUGUGACACCUAUUCCCUCAUCUGGAACAUUGCUCAGAAGUCAACAGAGUUUCAAACAAUCCACAUUUCCUCUCAGUACCUUCACAGGUGUCCAUUAGCUCCAGACUUCCAUGUGAAAUGAUUUCUUAAUCCGACAUUCUCUGAGGUAUUCAUCCAGAAAGCAGAAAAGCAUUAGUGAAUAAUGCUCUGCAGAUAAAAGGAAUUAGAGCUGCAUCUUGGAAUCAUUUAAUGUGCUCCACUUUUUUUUGUAGACAAUAACCAACAGUGGUUUUAUGAUUUUUUUUUUCUUUCGUUUCCUCAAUGACUCAACACUUAUCACUAGAUUGAUUUAGUCAGGCUAGAUAAGAUAAUGAAUGCAAACAUUCCAAGUCAUCGAGGUUGCAUGUUGUGGAGGGCAGUCUUGAAUAUAUAACUUGGCACUCUUGAAUAUCUCAUGACUUGGUUGAUACAGUUCAGCUGUAGAUCAUCUACAAGACACACAGUAAAAACAUUUAAAUUAUGCACAUGCUAGUUUUACUUUGAGGCUGUUCUAAAACUAGAUGCCUAUUUAUGGGCAAAUUCUAAGGCAGCAUUGCACGUAUUCUUUGUGGAAAAGGCAAUCACAGAAUGCACUGUGAAAAAAAAAAUUACAUUUAUAUUUUUAAAUAAUGUCAAUUCAUAAUCAGUAUUUAGUAUAUGUAUGACUUUAAUACAAUAAAGUAUCAAUAAAAACAACAUUUAGUAAAAAAUUGUCCAAUUUUACCAAAUAUCUUUUUAUGCUUAGAGAACUGCCAUUAGCUUAGCAUCAUGCUAACCUAAAUAUCUGUUAGAAUUGACUGUAUAAAAUUGUGUGAUGCUUUUCUGUUUCUGUGUGUAAACCUUGUGAGAGUAAAAUUAAAUCACAUUAGCUGCAUUUGCAUUUGUUCAGUGCCAGAAAUAAAUAUGCAGAAAACAUCAUACACAGAAAAACACAAAAGCAAAGAAUCUGUUCCUUUGAUUUUCAUUUUUGGUUUCCCUUGUUUUCUUGCAGAUAUCUGGGACAUCACAAAGCUUGACUAGUAAAAGGUGAUGUAAAUACAGUCAUUAUUGGCACACAUGCUCUUUACCCUUUGGUCUCUUACAAAAGCUAUUUUAUACUUAUUUUAUUAUUUCUAAGAAUCUGUAGUGCUUUGAAAUUUGAUAAGUAUUUAGUUACACUGCAGAUAAACUCCAGUUUUACAGUUCUUGAAAAAGGAUGGGCCUGAUUCUCUAUCACAAUGAACAGAGGUCAACAAGCCUGACGAGUUUUAUGUACCGCAGAAGGAACAGAAAUUGAAAACCAUAAUGUCUGUUAAGGUAGACUGUUCUUAAUGCCAUGUUUAAUAUCAAAUCUGUAUAUAUCAUGUUCCACAGGACCAAUCCGUAGAAUUAUGUUACAGGUUUCUGUGUUAUUCUUGAUGUGUC